rnacentral:rRNA from 1 species
GACGGAGGGUGCAAGCGUUGCUCGGAAUCAUUGGGCGUAAAGGGUGCGUAGGCGGCUUUUUAAGUCUGACGUGAAAGCCCAGGGCUUAGCCUUGGAAGUGCGCCAGAAACUGGAAGGCUAGAGUGCCGGAGGGGAGAGUGGAAUUCCUGGUGUAGCGGUGAAAUGCGUAGAUAUCAGGAGGAACACCGGUGGUGUAGACGGCUUUCUGGACCGUAACUGACGCUGAGACACGAAAGCGUGGGUAGCAAACAGG